CUGAUUGUGAGUGAGAGAGAUCUGAAAAAUGGCUUACAAUCUUCAAUCCCUAGUCACCAUUCUACAACAAAUCCUUAAUCAUGACCAACCACGCUGGAUCGUUGAUCACAACAAAUCACAGCUGGAAUCCCUACUCCAAAAGGCUGAAUCUCUGCAGCACAUUCUCGGAAAGUCUUCAUUCACCAGAUCAGCAAGUUUGGAGAGCCAAAUCAGAGAUGCUGCGUAUGAAGCAGAAGAUAUUAUAGAAUUACAUAUGGUUGAUCAAAUGCUUUCCACCCCUGAAGGAGUGAGUUUGACCUUUUGCACGCCAGAUCUGCGGCAUGUAACGCAAGAGCUGGAUUCUGCAAUGGAACAACUGGUGAAGCUCAUGGAGGGGAAGACCACAUUAAGUGGCAGUUCAUGCAGUACUGAUGCUCCUUUGUCGAGCUCCAAGAACGAUUUGGUGGGAGUUGAUGCUGAUCUGUUGCAUUUGAAGGAUCGGCUUACAAAUAUGCAGAGCAAGCUGGUGGAGAUCAUCCCCAUUAUUGGGAUGGGUGGGAUUGGUAAAUCCACUCUUGCUCGAAAUCUUUAUGAUGAUCCGCUCAUUAUUUCUCACUUUGAUUAUCGUGGUUGGGCUGCAAUUUCACAAGAUUACGAUAUGCUAGCAAUUUUGUUUAGCCUUCUGCGCGGUCCAAAUAAAAAGCUCAAUAAAGAGCUCGUUAAACUCACAGAUAAUGAGUUGAAAGAAAAAUUGCGUAAGAGAUUGUUUGGUCGAAGAUAUAUGAUUGUAUUAGACGAUAUAUGGAUAACCAAGGUCUGGGAUGAGAUAAGAAUGUACUUCCCAGAUAAUAAUAGUGGGAGUCGAAUUGUGAUUACCACUAGGGAAUCGAAUGUGGCCAAAUAUGCAAGCCCGGAGAGUUUGCAUCAUCAUGUGGAAUUGCUAAAUGAGUCUUCAAGUUGGAAUCUACUUCGCCAAAUUGUGUUUGGACAAGAGGAUUGCAGCGAUGAAUUACAAAGGAUUGGAACUAAGAUUGCAAAUGACUGCCAUGGGCUUCCUCUUGCCAUUCAUGUGAUUGGAAGGCUCUUGUCAAAGGUCGAAAGAUCAGUAGAUGUUUGGGAGCUCGUUUCAAUCGAUGUUAAAUCUGCAAUUGUUGAAUCAGAUAAGCAGUUCUCUAAUAUACUUUCAUUGAGUUAUAGCCACUUACCUGUUCACUUGAAACCGUGUUUCCUAUACAUGGGAGCUUUACCUGAAGAUUGUGUGAUUAAUGGCUCUAGACUCAUGUAUAUAUGGAUAGCUGAAGGAUUUGUGAAAGCCUGUGGAGAUAAGAGUUUGGAAGAAGAGGCUGAGCAUUACUUGAAGGCUUUAGUGGAGAGGAAUCUACUUUUGGUUACACGAAAAAAGUCGAAUGGGAAGCCCAUGAGCUACUCAAUCCAUGAUCUUAUGAGGGAGCUAUGCAUAAGGAAAGCUAAUGAGGAGAAGUUUCUACAUGUCAAGAAAUCCCAGCGCCGUGUGAGUGUUCACUCAUCAUAUGAAAUGGAAGAUGUUUUGGCUUCACCACACUUGAUGUUACUUGCUCGAUCUUUUAUAUGCACCGAGGAUAAGAUUAGCUUUCCCGUAUUAGGAUUGCUUAGGGUGCUUAGAGUGCUUCAUGCAAUGGAAGUGGUGUUGGAGGAGUUCCCAGAAGAAAUGCUACAACUUGUCAAUCUAAGAUAUUUGGCUUUCUCCUGCACUUCAGGUUUACCUACUGAAAUAUCAAGAUUGUUGAAUCUGCAGACCUUGAUUUCUCAACAAGAUAUGCCCUUCUUGCCUCACGAAGUAUUAGAGAUAUCUGAGUUAAGACAUGUCAGGGUGCGUACAGUAAUCGAAAUUGAGGAGGGAUAUAAGAUCAAAUUUGUUCAUGAGAAGCUUCAAACGCUUUACUAUGUGGGACUAACUACUUCACUGAUUAAGAGUGGUUUCUUUGCAAUUAUUCCAAAUAUAAGGAAGUUAGGAAUCUAUUGCAUCCACUCACUGUACACCGUUGUUGAUCUUAGCCAUCUUCACAAACUCGAAACUUUGAAAUGUGAGUCUGACUUCAAUGAGGGUGGUGGAUGUUUUCUUCAGAAACUCAUAUUGCCUUGUAAUCUCAUAAAAUUAACUCUUACUUCUUGUGUACUAUCUGGGAGUUUCUUGACAACUCUGUGUGCACUUCAGAAUUUGGAAGUGCUCAAAAUAACAGAAAGUGAGUUUGAAAGCAAGGGUGGUGAUGAAGAGUGGGAUGUGACAGAAGGAGAUGAGUUCCGCGCACUGCAGUUUCUGUGUCUAAAUUCGUUAAAUCUGGCACGUUUGAUAGCGAAUGAGACCAACUUCCCUAGACUUCAACGCCUGUUUAUUGUGAGGUGUUACGAGAUGGAGGGAAUCCCCUGUGCCAUUGGAGAUGUUCCAACGCUCAAACACAUUUUCGUAUUUGAAUGUGGAGCUUCAGUCGUGGCCUCAGCACGAGAAAUUCGGAAGGAGCAGCAAGAGGAGUAUGACAACCACGACCUCCAAGUGGAUAUAUAUUAGAAGCUCAGUUUGAAUGUGGAUUUAUGGUUGAUGCCAAAAGUGAGUGAAAUGGAUCGAGGCCUAGACAACGGAGCAGAAGCAGUAGUGAUCGGAGGAAUGGUGCUUGACGUUAAUGCGACCCCUUCCACCGCUACUAAUCGAGGAACCACUGCUCCUGGAAAGAUUCGCUAUGCAUUAGGUGGUGUAGCAAGAAAUAUUGCGGAGUGCAUGUCAAAGCUCGGAGCAAAGCCUUACAUGAUAAGUGCCGUGGGAUUUGACUUGGCAGGUUCCACGGAAUUGGAUUCGAAGUAAAAUGAUUAUGUUUCAAAGUCAAAACUCUAUUUGAGAUUUUGCAAGUGAAAGGAUAUAUGAUGUUGAGGUUCCUAAGCUCUUCCAGCUCCUCAUGCCAUAUUGCACAUCUUGUGUGUAAAGCAAUUUACAUAUAUCCUUCAUGUCAAACCAGUUUUCCUCAAUCAAGACACUAACAUUUGUGAGAUGCUCAUCAUGUAAUUUUUGAAAUGUUACUGCAGUUCUGGAAAGUGAUGUUUUUCUAUGACCAGGA